CAGCAGCCGCGGUAAUACGAAGGGGGCUAGCGUUGCUCGGAAUUACUGGGCGUAAAGGGAGCGUAGGCGGAUCGUUAAGUUGGGGGUGAAAGCCCGGGGCUCAACCUCGGAAUUGCCUUCAAUACUGGCGAUCUUGAGUAUGGAAGAGGUAUGUGGAACUCCGAGUGUAGAGGUGAAAUUCGUAGAUAUUCGGAAGAACACCAGUGGCGAAGGCGACAUACUGGUCCAUUACUGACGCUGAGACUCGAAAGCGUGGGGAGCAAACAGGAUUAGAUACCCCUGUAGUCCCUGUCUCUUAUAC
rnacentral:rRNA from 1 species